rnacentral:lncRNA from 1 species
UGUCGCUGACAAAUAACUGCUUUGCCAAAAAGCAUAAUGUAGAGAAAAAACUACUCUCCACCUCAGUGAAGGUACUGGUGUUGAUCAACAUUGUGAACGUGAAAAACAACCUGUUUUCUAGGAUUCCUUUUAUGGGGAUCAUGCGGCAGGUUCAUUUAUUUACAGAGUGUUAUUCACGUGUACACACAAGCUAUUUUGAUAAGAAAUAUUGGGUGGUAAACGAACGCACCUUAUCCAGAGCGAACCUAAAAACAAACGCACCAUUAACAGUGGGGACGCAUGGGACAUAUCCCUUAUAUUAAAAUCCAGAUGCAAUGUGUCAUUUUUUGACAUUGUAUUUUUGUAAAUGCACAUGACAUACAUCCACUGACAUACAGUGGCACUUUUGAUUUAAUAUAAAAAAAUUAGGUAACACUUUAUAUUAAGGACCUAUUCUGGCUAUUAACUAGUUGCUUAUUAGCAUGCACAUUACUAGCAUAUUGUCUAUUUAUUAUUAUUAUUAUUAUUAUUAUUAUUAUUAUUAUUAUUAUGUAUAAACCACAUAUUAAUGCCUUAUUCUGCAUGACCAUAUUUUAGAUCCCUUAAUCCUACCCCAUACCUAAACUUAACAACUAACUCACUAACUAUUAAUAAGCAGCAAAUUAGGAGUUUAUUGAGGGAGAAGUCGUAAUUAAUAGUGAAAAUGUGUUCCCUAUUCUAAAGUGUUACCAAAAGUUAUAUUAGGAAGUAUCAGAAGAACUUAAAAUUAAAAUGUUACCAGUGCUAGUUAUAUUUUGUCUUUGAAUGCUGAGCCAUGGGUGAAUCCACGGAUCUACAAAAUCCCAGGAACAACAGUGGGAGAUAUGGGAAGUUAUCAAAUUAUUUGAUAUAUUAUUUGAAUAUAUUAAUUAUUUAAAUAUACUCACCUAACUGAUCAAGAAAAAAAAAAAUAUUAGGUAAUUAGGCUAAUGUUUAUUGAUAUAUCAUAACAGCAAUCUUUAUUUUCAUACAAUUGCAUAAAUAAAUUUUUGUGCAUAACAUAAUAUUCAAGAGCUAAGGCUUAAUUUCGUGACGUCGGGUUCAGCGUGUAUAUUUGAAUUAACAACUGAGGGUUCAAUACGAUUUUGAAAUUAAUCAGUGGCAGCUGUGUGUGAAAAUAAGUGAUACAGACAAACCCUAGUGUAAUGCCUAUCAAGACAACAUUAGGCAUUUAGACGCGUCGUUAUCAGACACAACAACGCUAGCAAUAACUGAUCAGAAAAAAA